UGGAAGAAUACAAUGAUAGUC
rnacentral:piRNA from 1 species